rnacentral:rRNA from 1 species
UGGUUUUGAUUUGAAAGGCGCUUUCGGGUGUCGCUGAUGGAUGGACCCGCGGUGCAUUAGCUAGUUGGUGAGGUAACGGCUCACCAAGGCCACGAUGCAUAGCCGACCUGAGAGGGUGAUCGGCCACAUUGGGACUGAGACACGGCCCAAACUCCUACGGGAGGCAGCAGUAGGGAAUCUUCGGCAAUGGACGAAAGUCUGACCGAGCAACGCCGCGUGAGUGAAGAAGGUUUUCGGAUCGUAAAACUCUGUUGUUAGAGAAGAACAAGGAUGAGAGUAACUGUUCAUCCCUUGACGGUAUCUAACCAGAAAGCCACGGCUAACUACGUGCCAGCAGCCGCGGUAAUACGUAGGUGGCAAGCGUUGUCCGGAUUUAUUGGGCGUAAAGCGAGCGCAGGCGGUUUCUUAAGUCUGAUGUGAAAGCCCCCGGCUCAACCGGGGAGGGUCAUUGGAAACUGGGAGACUUGAGUGCAGAAGAGGAGAGUGGAAUUCCAUGUGUAGCGGUGAAAUGCGUAGAUAUAUGGAGGAACACCAGUGGCGAAGGCGGCUCUCUGGUCUGUAACUGACGCUGAGGCUCGAAAGCGUGGGGAGCAAACAGGAUUAGAUACCCUGGUAGUCCACGCCGUAAACGAUGAGUGCUAAGUGUUGGAGGGUUUCCGCCCUUCAGUGCUGCAGCUAACGCAUUAAGCACUCCGCCUGGGGAGUACGACCGCAAGGUUGAAACUCAAAGGAAUUGACGGGGGCCCGCACAAGCGGUGGAGCAUGUGGUUUAAUUCGAAGCAACGCGAAGAACCUUACCAGGUCUUGACAUCCUUUGACCACUCUAGAGAUAGAGCUUCCCCUUCGGGGGCAAAGUGACAGGUGGUGCAUGGUUGUCGUCAGCUCGUGUCGUGAGAUGUUGGGUUAAGUCCCGCAACGAGCGCAACCCUUAUUGUUAGUUGCCAUCAUUCAGUUGGGCACUCUAGCAAGACUGCCGGUGACAAACCGGAGGAAGGUGGGGAUGACGUCAAAUCAUCAUGCCCCUUAUGACCUGGGCUACACACGUGCUACAAUGGGAAGUACAACGAGU